AGAGUGAGGCAUGUCUGCACUGAGGGCGAGCAGCUGAACUGUUGCAGGGUGUGGACAGACCCAGGGACUGCUGAAGGCUCCCACGCCAUGAACCAUCCAGCCAGGACCUGGCAGGGCUCAGCCUGGGCUAAUCUGCUCUCCAGCUGGUUUUUGAGUCAUGAGCUGGUUGCAAUUAUUUUGCCUCUGUAAUUCCAUCUUCCUUGCGCUCUUCCUGGCUUCAGAGCCACUGGAGGAUGGUCACCUGUGUGGAGCUGUGCAUGAAAAUCGGAUCCCAGCUGCAGGCAAGGGAACACUGGAAGAAGACUGCAAGGAGUAGUCGUGUCACAGCUGCAGUUGUGGUUAUUAUUCAUCAUCUUGCUACACACAGCACUCAGCUUGUGCUGAGCAGGGAGAGCUGUGAUCCCCGUUAUUAUCAAUACCCAGUGCUGUACCAGUGCCUCAGCAAAGGUGGGGAUCUGGAACCAGCAGGGCACCAACCAAGGAACAGAAACAACUGUGUUUUUAGGAUUCUGAUUAAUUUUUCAAGUGGUGUAAGUGCUUGGAUCUGCUCCAUGUAAAGUCUUUCAAAUGUGUGGGUGCAUGGGUGCAAAUAUAUUGCUUAUUUGUUCCUCUUACCCUCCUAGAGUCAGAGCCAGAAUUACCUUCAGUCAUUAUUCUAUCCUGUCUCUGUAAGUAUAGGCUGUUCUUGGAAGAAAAACAAAUACAUUUGAGUACCAUCCUUUACAAAAAAUGUGGGUGUCGAUUCCAGGAAAAAUGCUCGCUUAAAACUCCUUGUUGCAGGAGACUUAGCCACGUGAUGGCUAGAAACACCAAAAGGAAGAGCUCUGCAAUGAGAGGCCAUGGCUUGAAAAAUACAUGGUCAGUUUCAGUGCUGAAAUACCCUAUAGAAGGAGGAAUGUUGGCAUAAUGUUCACAAGGAGUAGCCUGGUGCAUUUCCUGAUGGUUUGUAGUGGAAAAAACUGCUGAGUAAGUGCCUACUUCAGGCGCUCUGGUAUCCAGUCUCUACCCAAUGAUCCAUUAGUUGGUGGAAAUGUUGAAGAUGACUACAGUGGAAGUGCUAAGUCACAGCCUGUAGCAGUGAUGGAGCACCUGGUGGGAAGGCGGGGCCAACCCAGGAGAGCUCAGGUGCAUGCAAUGUACCUGAGUGACCAGAAGGGCUGCAGCCAGGAUCCACCCCUUCCCAGACCUCAUUUAAGGGUUGGCAGUGAAGAGCAUCUCUUGCUGGACAUCCCUGUCUACUUGAGGCCUUCCAAAAUGCAGCCUGGUCCUGACACUUCUUUGCAACUGCCUCCGGAGCCAGUCCCGCUUUGUACUGCUGUGCAUCCUUAGAAAAUAGGCUGCCAGGUGCUGAACACCCACAGUUUGGAGUGAUCACUCAUGGAUGUAUGUCUCUGAUGGUCUCAGAGAGUGUGGGCUGAACUCCAUCCUCUUUCAUCUGGGUCCUGGAGGCAUUCUCAGUCCCGCUCCCUCCACCUCUGCACCUGAUGUCCUUGCCAAGCACAUUGGGAAGAAGCUCCAUCCUGGAGCACAACAGCAUACACCCCGAAGGUAGAUGCAUCCUCACAUACCCUGCUCAGUAUCAGUCGUGACGCGGGGCAGACCCUGCUGCAGAUGCAUUCAUCCCCACUGUGCAUCCCAUACCUGCUGCAGCCCCGUGAGCCUGGGAGGUCUGAGGGCACCGUGCCAGCAUCACAGCACUGGGAGGGAAAUCCGUGCAGCCUGUGCCUGCGUGUUUGCAAACGGCCAUCGCAGUGCCGUGCAUAACACUUAAGCUGAAUGAGAGACUAAAUAAAGAUUAAAUGGAGACGGAUGCCUCUAUUUGCAUUAGGAGAGGUUUUGAAUCUCUUCUCGUUUGCUUUCCCGGAGCAGUUUGCAGGUGAGCCGUUGGCCUGCCAGGCCCUGUGCAGUGAGGAUUUUUAUCCCCGAAGUUUGCUUUGUUUCCAGUAGGUCUCUUAAUUACAGCAAAUUAAAAAUUAAAAGAGAGGACAGGCAGUGAGUGGUGGGUAAGCAUUGUCAACAGCUGCGCGUGAUGCAAGCUCCGUGACUGAGCGAGUGGCUCCAGAGAUUGCAUUUGUGCUGAAAUAAAGGCAGAGUUAAAGUCGCAAGAGAACCAGAACCAAUUUACCUCCUUUGUGAAUAAUUUGCCCCAAACUUCUUUGAAGCUUGGUCGUUUCCCCUUGAAAGGCACUGUUUAGUCAAAAUGGACCCUCUUUGUGGGGAAGAAUGAAUUAUUCUGAAUCCACCCAGAACUUCUGAGAGCAGAGGGGUCCGGCUCAAAGCCCUCCAUCACCUCGUCUCUAUUGGCCACCCGUGUCCCCAGUCCUCACCAGUGUGGGAUGGGGCUGCCUGUGCUACCAGGGAGCACCUGCCUCUCCUUGUGCUAUCUGCUGGGCUUCCUGAGUAGCAGGGCAGUGCCUUCUGUGUCAGAGCUGCCUUGUGGCAACCCCAGCACACCCGAAUGGCACUUCGAAGAGUGGAGCUUUCAGGGAGCAGCUGUGGAUAUAAAAAUAAAAGCAGCAGGGAGCAGGGUUGUUGGUGUCAGCGGGAAACAUGCGCUGAAGUAGGGACUGGAGCAUGGAUGAGCCUUCUGUUGUCGCUUCUCCUCCCGGCAUCCUGGUGUGGUGGC